UAAGGAAUAUUGCGCAAUGGGGGAAACCCUGAAGGAGCGACGCCGCGUGGGGGAUGAAUGGCUUCGGCCCGUAAACCCCUGUCAUCUGCGAGCAAUCCCUCCAGCUUAACACGUUGGAGGUCGAUAGUAGUGGAAGAGGAAGGGACGGCUAACUCUGUGCCAGCAGCCGCGGUAAUACAGAGGUCCCAAGCGUUGUUCGGAUUUACUGGGCGUAAAGGGUGCGUAGGCGGCCAAAAAAGUCCGAUGUGAAAUCUUGGAGCUUAACUCCGAAACUGCACUGGAUACUGCUUGGCUUGAGGAGUGGAGGGGAGACUGGAAUUCUCGGUGUAGCAGUGAAAUGCGUAGAGAUGUGGAGGAACACCGAUGGCGAAGGCAGCCCCCUGGGUCAACACUGACGCUCAUGCACGAAAGCGUGGGGAGCAAACAGGAUUAGAUACCCCUGUAGUCCCUGAGCGGGCUGGCAAGGCGCAU
rnacentral:rRNA from 1 species